GUGAGAGAGACUCGGGUAUUCGUCUUCCUCUGUGCAGCGGAAAGCUGCCAUCUCUCGAUGUUUGGGUGGCUUGAAUCCCUCGGAGCUCUCCAUCCGGUUGCACCCAGACAAAGGCGACGUUUUCCAUCCCCUCUCUCUCAACUACACAACGGGCCUGUCGUGCCGGACUUGGGACGAGCUGGUCCAGGAGCUCAGCUGCAUCUAUUCUGACGCAAUUGCUUCGCUCCCUGACACAUCCCUUCCGGACGCCAAGACGCGGCAAAAUGCGGCGAUCAUCCAAAGGCAUCCAGCCGCCCAAGGACGAAAGGGAGCCGACUUGGAUGUCGAAGGUGUCCGAGAUUUGCAGAGGUAGGAUCGACGUGGACUUGCUUUUGUGCCACAAAAUCAUGCUCGCCUUUCACUACCAUCUGGACAUGAACGAUUCAAUCAAGAUUGCCAGGACCUGAUCACGCAAGAAGAAGAAGAGCUCUACAUUGAUCGUCACCUCCCUCGAGCUCAAGCUGACGAGAUUGUGUGCGAGAUCUCUCAAGUUUUGCCACAGUCGUACCGGUGGCUGGGUCUGGAGGAGAUGGACAGCAAAGAGGAGGUUUUCCGCGUGAUCAACUGGGACGUGGAGGUGAGGAGCUCCAAUCUCAGCCAGGCAAACAAGCUCUUGGAUUGACGUGGUCGGUUGGCACUCACUCAGUACACUGUAUGCCCAGUCCGGGCAUCUUGAGAUUUCCAGGAACAAGGAGUUCCGUGAUCGUCUCCUGGAACGCGAUGAUCACCGUGUAUGUGGCGGCAUCCCGCAUCCGAGAGUGAGAGUCUAUGUUUGAUUGCGACUCAGAGCGCCAUGGAACUCGAUUAUAAUGGUGGUCGCGCACCAGGGGCAAAUGAAAUCGACCUUGCGCAAAAACGCCGGCCAAGGAUCUCAUGUCCUGGACGAAUCUACUGCCCAGAAUGGCAGGACGUUCCGUGGGUUCCUGAAUACCAGGAGGGGGGAUUUGGCCACCGCCAAAGAGAUCUUAGACAUGGUGCAUGGACGGCGAUGACGACAGCCACCAAGGCGUCGUUGCCCUCACGAAGAACAGCUUCGGUCAAAUCCCGGAGAAGAAUCCAGUACCGUGGAUUCUCGCAUUUGCGAGAAUGGGCAUUUUGACAAGGCCGUUCACGAGAUCCUGCGCAAGACCAUUGUCUGCUGGAUAACUCUCACGCAAGUUUCAACUUGAGCGCCGCCAGGAGCAUGUUUGAGAGCAUGAAGAUGCGCACCUUAGUUUCCCGGACCAAUCCCGGACCAAAACGGGCACUACGAUCAAGCAGUGGAAGUCUUCCAGCUUAUGAAUCUCGGGGGUGUCAAGCCGGACGAGUUGAUGUUCCAGAGCGUUUUAACAUCGUGCAGCCAUGCCGAGCUGGGAACACUUGGUCUUGAUCAGCCAGUACUUUGGGAUGGUGGCGAGGAGAGGGCACUCUAUAUUUCUGCAUGAUCGACGUCCUGGGUCGAUCCAGGAGAACUUUGAGUGUGGAGGAGCUCGUCAAACUCGAUGCCAUUCCUUCCAGAUGUCGUGAUCUGGAUGGGAGCUUGCCUCCUCCAUGGCUGAUUGUGCUGAGAGAGUCGCAGCAAAGAUCUUUGAGAGCGCUGGAGCCCUGCUACACUAGCGGUCUCUCAAACAUGUACUCUGUCGAUUACACAUUGGGAGGUGGGACAAGGUCUCGAUGAUCUGGAACCUGAUGAGGUCGAGGCGAGUGAGAAAAGUUCCAGGGAUCAGUAACAUCGUUCGAGUUGGUAGCAAAGUUCACAGCUUCGUGGUCGCAGCAAAGACAUCGUCGAGGAGUGUAGGGGAGAGAGCAAAAGGAGGAGCUGCUACACUACCACCAGCGUUGUGGCUUUUGGAUUGAUCAGCAAGGCACAAGGGAUAUACGUUGCAGUGAAAGCAUUGCUUUCCCACAGUUCAUCUUUCGCUCUAAAUAAUCUUGUGAAGGACAGCCACCUUUUGACCCCGAGUGAAAUGUGACAUCAGCCUUGGAUUGCACAUUGGAAGCGAGGGGCUAGGUAAGCGCUAAGGCAGCAUCCAGGUAUUGAAAUCCAGUACCUUGUUUCUAGAGCAAUCCGAUCCGAUCCUAUGUUGUUGUCCUGGCCAUGGGUGCAACGCGGAUCCAUUUGUAUGGCCGAUUCCGCUGCAGCAGCAUGCUUUGUGGGUAUUGGAGCCCUGAUCAAAAUGCUUAUAUGUAAUGUUGGCACUGUAAGAGGAAGACACUGUGGAGGAAGGGCUUGCCAGAUCAUUUGGAUCCCUCGUCUUUCCACAAUCUGGAAAAAGAAUAGGAAGCAUGCCGAGCAGGCCUCCACAAAAGUCUUCGAAGGGCAAUGCGCCACCGCUGUCUAAGCAUGUGUGCUGUUCUAAGGUUUGACCCAUGCAGGUUCUCUGUGUUUGUCGAUUUAGAGCUUAAUCCAGGAUCGAAGGUACAGAACGGUGCUCAAGGUCACGCCUUGCCUGUUUGGACCAAUUUAGGAUCUCAAGCCAAGAGGAUGAAACGUUCAACAGCCGACUAGAUGGAAUGAAGCAAACGUUAGUGAUGAUGAUGAUGCACUUGCUGAGGACGUUUUGUUCAGAUUCCUCGAAGGCCUUCCAGGCCCGUUUUUGUGUUGACUGAAGUACUGGAUGUCUAUGUUGACGACGAAUUCACCAAGUACAGUAUUAUUCAAAUUUUUUCAUCUCAAACUGUAUUGCAGUGUGGCAUCUCGAAGCUGGAAUCGCAGAAUAUCUACUGCCGCUCUGAAAGUUUGGCUCUCCCAAGGUCAAGACAUCAAAAUUGACACUGAAGCAAGCUCUGCAAAACUAUCAAGACAUUCAGGAGCUUUGGCAUUUCUACCAGGAGUGUCAGUGAGCAGCAGAAGCGAGUAGGAUUUCAACGCUUGUAAUUGAGCGACAGUCUAGAUAUCAAUUCAAUUGACAAUCCAUAGCCAA